GUUUUAAUCCUUCUUCUCUGGGGACUGGCAGCCCUUCUAACAGCUGUGGGGUGUUACCAUAACCUCAGCCCUCUCCAUCUCUGUCUGACAGAUGGCUGGACACACCUUCUUUGAAGAAAGCCACUCUUACUGGGAAGGCACAAAAAGUUCACAGUCAAGAUGAAGUUAUUUUUGAGGUAAGAACUUUCUCUCCUUUUAUAUGGUGUACACGUGCAACAUAAAAAGCAAAGAUGCAAAGAGCUGAGUGCUUCAAGAUUUGACACUACACAGAUAGAGAUGCAUUUUUGUAUUACAAUCUCACAUUUGGCCUGACUGAAUU
rnacentral:lncRNA from 1 species